AGUGAACGCUGGCGGUAGGCCUAACACAUGCAAGUCGAACGGCAGCACAGUAAGAGCUUGCUCUUACGGGUGGCGAGUGGCGGACGGGUGAGGAAUACAUCGGAAUCUACUUUUUCGUGGGGGAUAACGUAGGGAAACUUACGCUAAUACCGCAUACGACCUACGGGUGAAAGCAGGGGAUCUUCGGACCUUGCGCGAUUGAAUGAGCCGAUGUCGGAUUAGCUAGUUGGCGGGGUAAAGGCCCACCAAGGCGACGAUCCGUAGCUGGUCUGAGAGGAUGAUCAGCCACACUGGAACUGAGACACGGUCCAGACUCCUACGGGAGGCAGCAGUGGGGAAUAUUGGACAAUGGGCGCACGCCUGAUCCAGCCAUACCGCGUGGGUGAAGAAGGCCUUCGGGUUGUAAAGCCCUUUUGUUGGGAAAGAAAAGCAGCAGGUUAAUACCCCGCUGUUCUGACGGUACCCAAAGAAUAAGCACCGGCUAACUUCGUG
rnacentral:rRNA from 1 species